rnacentral:rRNA from 1 species
ACGAACGCUGGCGGCGUGCUUAACACAUGCAAGUCGUACGGUAAGGCCCUUUCGGGGGUACCCGAGUGGCGACCGGGUGAGUAACACGUGAGUAACCUGCCCACAACUUUGGGAUAACGCUAGGAAACUGGUGCUAAUACUGGAUAUGUGCUCCUGCUGCAUGGUGGGGGUUGGAAAGCUCCGGCGGUUGUGGAUGGACUCGCGGCCUAUCAGCUUGUUGGUGGGGUAGUGGCCUACCAAGGCGGCGACGGGUAGCCGGCCUGAGAGGGUGACCGGCCACAUUGGGACUGAGAUACGGCCCAGACUCCUACGGGAGGCAGCAGUGGGGAAUAUUGCACAAUGGGCGCAAGCCUGAUGCAGCAACGCCGCGUGCGGGAUGACGGCCUUCGGGUUGUAAACCGCUUUCAGCAGGGACGAAGCUUUUUGUGACGGUACCUGCAGAAGAAGCACCGGCUAACUACGUG